rnacentral:tRNA from 1 species
AAGGGGUUAGUUUAUUUAAAACCACUAAUUUCGACUUAGUAGAUUCUGACUGAUCAGAACCCCUAA